rnacentral:lncRNA from 1 species
GGGGCCGUUUCUCUCUGUUCUCUGCUAGUGGCGGUGCACCGUGCUUCUUGUGGGACAUCAAGAUUGGUUUCUGUUGGAACUCGUUUUUGACAAAGUGGUGUGGACCAUUUUUUUUAUGGGUUUUUCGACGGAGACGUCUGUUGGAAAGACCGGAAUUUGGAUACGAUGUAAUCGUCACCGUGAAUACUAUGAGUUAGUGUAUUUGUUGGUCAAAAUCGGAGUUGUUUUGAAUGAAAAAUGAAGGUCUAAAGUGAAUGACAUGAAAAGCUUAUAAAGCUAUUAUAUGGUUAAAUAUAAAUUUUAACAAAUGUUUCACUUUAGAUAUUUGAGUUUGAAUUUAGAUUCGAU